rnacentral:snRNA from 1 species
GUGCUUAAUUCAGCAGCACAUAUACUAAAAUUGGAACAAUACAGAGAAGAUUAACAUGGCCCCUAAGCAAGGAUGACAUGAACAUUCGCAAAGCAUUUCAUAUUUUU